rnacentral:lncRNA from 7 species
GAGACUGUGUCUUGUAGUGUAGGUGCCUGCUGUGCUAAGGUCACUGGAGGUGGUUGGUUUGGACUGGAUUGGAUGAUGCUUCUGCUUCUCCCUGCUAUCACCAUGGAUUGUAACCAGGAGUGCAUCUUUCUCCUGAGCCUCACUCCCGCUUCUUCCACGAUGCUUAGACUCUGAAGCAAGGACUCCUCCUUGGCAAGCUGUGUUCAGUAUCUCAUCUCCAGGACAUCUGAGGAUUGUCACCAGGAAAGAUGAGCCACUUUCUGGAAUCCUGUUCCCAGCUGUAGGCUGUUCUGCAGCCCUGGCGUGGCUCCAUCCCGACCUUUUUCUCUUCCCAUUGAAUUCCUCACCACUUCUCCUGUGCCACGUUUCCCAGCAGAAGCUUUUGGUUUAGAAGCAGUGCGCUGUGAAACCCCUGGUGGCUGGGUGAUGGAGAGCUGCAUGAAGAACAUCCUCUGUGUUGGAGCAGCUGGGUGCCUCAGCUUUCCACUGCAACUCCAUACAAGACAUCCCUUGACUCUGUUCACCCCACACCCCAAACACUGUGUCCUUCGGGUAAGCUGCAGCUGUGGGUUUGACCCUCAGCCCUGCUCUGUCUGUUCAGCUCUCCAGCUUAGUGACAGGACAGCAAGGGAACAUACUGCCUGUCUGCAGCUCCACGAAGGUCACCGAAAGGCCAGGAGUCUUGGAGAGGAUGGGGACUGCUCUUUGACAGGUUAUCCUGCUUGUUGCUGCUAUUCUUCACACAUGGCCAAAGGCAGCGGCAAUCUGCCUUCCUCUCUGCUGCUCCCAGAAAGGUGGAGGAGCUAUUUGGAGAAGUCCCCAUUUUGCCAUGGGGUUGGGGUGCAGGGGAGCUGCAGUGAUCUUGGCCAGGACUUGCCUGCUGUGGCCCAUCCCAAGGGGAAGGCAGUGGUGCCCAGGGGAUGGGCAGGAAAAUUGCUCUGCAUCUCCGCAAUCACUUGGAAUGAGAGGGAGAGGAAUGCAAGGGGACUGCAGCCUCGGCAGAAUGCAUUUGGGAUGAAGGAGCAAAGAAGAGUGCUGAGUAUCUCCCAGGGGUGCUUUGAAGGAGCAGUGCCCCUUUGGGAAUGGGAUUCCAGUCCUCAACAUGAGGAACAAACAUCUCUCUCCCACGAGGCUCCUGAAGUCCCAUCUCUUCGUCUGCACUCCUCAUGUCCAUACAGGGCUGUAUGGCAUCUCUGCACACACGUAUGUGUAUGGAUGGCCCCAUGUGCUGCUGAUUGGAGCAUCCCAAAAACUGGCCCAGGUCUUUCAGUUCCUCCCCGGUGUCAUUUUGGGGUGGGAGCAGAGGGAGGCCGGAUGUGUGGUAGCCCUGCCCUCACACCCUAUAAAACGGGUCUGUCUCUGGUUUGUAUCUAAAGGAGAAAAAAAAAGAGAAGGGGAAAGAGGGGGGGGAAAGCCUCUCCGAAAUGAGAUUCCUGAAAUGACAGUGUGCUGACAUGCACUGGAGU